AGAGUUUGAUCCUGGCUCAGAUUGAACGCUGGCGGCAUGCCUUACACAUGCAAGUCGAACGGCAGCGCGGGGCAACCUGGCGGCGAGUGGCGAACGGGUGAGUAAUAUAUCGGAACGUGCCCUGGAGUGGGGGAUAACGCAGCGAAAGUUGCGCUAAUACCGCAUACGAUCUAAGGAUGAAAGCAGGGGACCGCAAGGCCUUGUGCUCCUGGAGCGGCCGAUAUCUGAUUGGCUAGUUGGUGGGGUAAAGGCCUACCAAGGCAUCGAUCUGUAGCUGGUCUGAGAGGACGACCAGCCACACUGGGACUGAGACACGGCCCAGACUCCUACGGGAGGCAGCAGUGGGGAAUUUUGGACAAUGGGCGAAAGCCUGAUCCAGCCAUGCCGCGUGCAGGAUGAAGGCCUUCGGGUUGUAAACUGCUUUUGUACGGAACGAAAA
rnacentral:rRNA from 1 species